GGAAAGUUUAGCGGAUGAGCAAUGGUAGCGGAAAAGCAAGCUACAACGUCCAUGAUGGCCGCGGCCACCUCGCCGAAAGCUCGCUACGGAAUUGAUUACUAGCUGAAGAGCCGAUCUUGAUUAGCACGGGGAACUUCUGCUUGCAUUGUCUAUUCGAGAGAGGGAUCAAUUCUCAUAGUUCAUCACAGAAGGCUUCACUUCAUAUUGUAAGCGGAAAGAGACAAGGUGAUCAUGCUUCCGUUAUACCUAAAUGAUGCAUUCACGUCAUAUGAUCCAUCGGGGGAAUUAAAACUACUUUACCUUCCAAAAUGUUUUGAAAUUCAUUGAUUAUGUUUAAAGACUAAUGCCUUUUGAACUUUUUCUAAUUUAUGUUUUUUAUUCGAACUUUACUUAUUUAAUUGAUAAGCCGGUGUGCUUUAAUUCUAAAUCCCUAUUUAGUUGUUGGUAUUUAUUGUUUUAGCCUUAGCGCCACAACAUAGGGCUCGUUGAUUGAUGAACAAGCCUUCCGGUGUGGUGUGGCGGUGACGCUCCGGUUUGAGCCGGCCGGGGUGUUACACGAUCAGUGGUGGUUAUUGAAUACAUUAUUUUAUAUGAUUUAUUAGUAGUUUAGCCUCUUU